rnacentral:rRNA from 2 species
UGGGGGAUAUUGCACAAUGGAGGAAACUCUGAUGCAGCAACGCCGCGUGAAGGAUGAAGGUCUUCGGAUUGUAAACUUUUGUACUUGGGGACGAUAAUGACGGUACCCAAGCAGCAAGCUCCGGCUAACUACGUGCCAGCAGCCGCGGUAAUACGUAGGGAGCAAGCGUUGUCCGGAUUUACUGGGUGUAAAGGGUGCGUAGGCGGCUAUGCAAGUCAGUUGUGAAAACUAUGGGCUCAACCCAUAGCCUGCAAUUGAAACUGCGUGGCUUGAGUGAAGUAGAGGUAGGUGGAAUUCCCGGUGUAGCGGUGAAAUGCGUAGAGAUCGGGAGGAACACCAGUGGCGAAGGCGACCUACUGGGCUUUAACUGACGCUGAGGCACGAAAGCAUGGGUAGCAAACAGG